rnacentral:rRNA from 1 species
CCUCUGGGUCCAACCUCCCAUCCGUGUCUAUCUGUACCCUGUUGCUUCGGCGUGGCCACGGCCCGCCGAAGACUAACAUUUGAACACUGUCUGAAGUUUGCAGUCUGAGUUUUUAGUUAAACAAUAAUUAAAACUUUCAACAACGGAUCUCUUGGUUCCGGCAUCGAUGAAGAACGCAGCGAAAUGCGAUAAUUAAUGUGAAUUGCAGAAUUCAGUGAAUCAUCGAGUCUUUGAACGCACAUUGCGCCCCCUGGUAUUCCGGGGGGCAUGCCUGUCCGAGCGUCAUUGCUGCCCUCAAGCACGGCUUGUGUGUUGGGCUUCCGUCCCUGGUAACGGGGACGGGCCCAAAAGGCAGUGGCGGCACCAUGUCUGGUCCUCGAGCGUAUGGGGCUUUGUCACCCGCUCCCGUAGGUCCAGCUGGCAGCUAGCCUCGCAACCAAUCUUUUUAACCAGGUUGACCUCGGAUCAGGUAGGGAUACCCGCUGAACUUAAGCAUAUCAAUAAGCGGAGGAA